CGCUGUAGCUCAGCAGGUCAGAGCAUCCGGCUGUUAACCGGACGGUCAUCGGUUCGAAUCCGAUCAGCG
rnacentral:tRNA from 1 species